rnacentral:hammerhead_ribozyme from 1 species
CCACUGCUGAGGAGUCCCAUACUAAGACGAAACGGCCGUCCAGUGA